UAACGCGUGGGCAACCUGCCUCAUACAGGGGGAUAACAGUUAGAAAUGACUGCUAAUACCGCAUAAGACCGCGGUGCCGCAUGGCACAGCGGUAAAAACUCCGGUGGUAUGAGAUGGGCCCGCGUCUGAUUAGCUAGUUGGCGGGGUAACGGCCCACCAAGGCGACGAUCAGUAGCCGACCUGAGAGGGCGACCGGCCACAUUGGGACUGAGACACGGCCCAAACUCCUACGGGAGGCAGCAGUGGGGAAUAUUGCACAAUGGGGGAAACCCUGAUGCAGCGACGCCGCGUGAGCGAUGAAGUAUUUCGGUAUGUAAAGCUCUAUCAGCAGGGAAGAAGAUGACGGUACCUGACUAAGAAGCCCCGGCUAACUACGUGCCAGCAGCCGCGGUAAUACGUAGGGGGCAAGCGUUAUCCGGAUUUACUGGGUGUAAAGGGAGCGUAGACGGCGAUGCAAGCCAGAUGUGAAAGCCCGGGGCUCAACCCCGGGACUGCAUUUGGAACUGUGUGGCUGGAGUGUCGGAGAGGCAGGCGGAAUUCCUAGUGUAGCGGUGAAAUGCGUAGAUAUUAGGAGGAACACCAGUGGCGAAGGCGGCCUGCUGGACGAUGACUGACGUUGAGGCGCGAAAGCGUGGGGAGCAAACAGGAUUAGAUACCCUGGUAGUCCACGCCGUAAACGAUGACUGCUAGGUGU
rnacentral:rRNA from 1 species